AAUCGAUUACAGGACAAGUGCUGCCCCGGAGGCUCCGCGACGCGCGCACUCCCUCGCGCCCACCCGCGCGCCCGGCCGCGUCGCCCCCAGCCCGUUGGUCCCCGGACUGCGGACCCCGCCCCCGACGGGGGCCAGUCAAAGGAACGGAUGAGUACAAAAAGUUGCUACCCUUGAAGUGUUACCUAUCACUAUCAACCACAGCUUGUUUAUUUGGAAAGAACUUAAGUGAACCGUCAAGAGAAAAACAAAUGCAUAUUCUUUCUACAAAUAGUAGCAUUUAGUAUCUUUCCUGACCACAUUUGCGAAAAGAGGGAAUAGAGACUUCUAUAAUUAAAGGGAAAAGGAAAAUGAAAGGAGCUGAAAAUAGUGAACUGUGUAGUCUGGAUGGCUGAAAUUUGAAAACACAUGAAAUUAUCAGGACUGCCAAACGGUGUUCCUGAGAAACCAUAUCACAGAUUGUGAAGAAAAUCAAUGCUAGAAGAGUCGGAACAGGCACCGUACUCUUACUCCUUUGAAGAAUCCCAGAAAUAGUUGUUGAGGUUUUUUUUUUCUGCUGAGAAAAAAAGAUAUAUUGGAAAUUAAGUCAUCAACAGUACCUUAAGCACCACUCUAGCAUAGAUACAAUUUCCUGUGGGGCACUCAGUAUCUCCAAGACCU
rnacentral:lncRNA from 1 species